rnacentral:snRNA from 1 species
AUACCUUUCUCGGCCUUUUGGCUAAGAUCAAGUGUAGUAUCUGUUCUUAUCAGUUUAAUAUCUGAUAUGUGGGCCAUGCGCCCACAACGAUAUUAAAUUUAUUUUUUGUGGGGGAGGGUCCACCACACUAGCUUGCUAGUGGGGCCCUCGUGUGUCGCCUGGGUGUUGCACUAUUGCCUAGGCCAGGCGCACCCCAA